GACGAACGCUGGCGGCGUGCUUAACACAUGCAAGUCGAACGGAAAGGCCCUGCUUGCAGGGUACUCGAGUGGCGAACGGGUGAGUAACACGUGGGUGAUCUGCCCUGCACUUCGGGAUAAGCUUGGGAAACUGGGUCUAAUACCGGAUAGGAGCCAUCUUUAGUGUGGUGGUUGGAAAGUUUUUUCGGUGUAGGAUGAGCUCGCGGCGUAUCAGCUCGUUGGUGGGGGAAUGGCGUACCAAGGCGGCGACGGGUAGCCGGCCUGAGAGGGUGUACGGCCACAUUGGAACUGAGAUACAGGCCAGACUCCUACAGGAGGCAGCAGUGGGGAAUAUUGGACAAUGGGCGGAAGCGUGAUGGAGCGAGGCCGCGUGGGGGUAGAAGGCCGUCGGGUUGUAAACACCUAUCGCUAGGGACGAAGCUUUUUUGUGACGGUACCUAGAUAGGAAGCACCGGCUAACUACGUG
rnacentral:rRNA from 1 species